CAUCCAUUCAUCUAUUGAUGGACACUUAGGUUGCUUCCACAUCUUGGCUAUUGUAAAUAGUGCAGCUGUAAACAUAGGGGUGCAUAUGUCUUUUUGAAUCUCUGAUUUUGAUAUCUUUAGGCAAAUUCCUAGGAUUGGAUUACUUGGUCAACUGGUAUUUCUAUUUUUAGUUUUUUGAGGGAUAUCUGUAUUGCUUUCCACAGCAGUUGAACCUGUUUACCUUCCCACCAACAGUGUAGGAGGGUUCCCCUUUCUCAGCUACCUCGCCAGCAUUUGUUCUUUCUUGCCUUUUAGAUAGUGGCCAUCCUAACUUUUUUUGUACAUCUUGAUAAAAUUUUAGAGUAAGAGUGUUUUGAAUCUUCCUUUCCGUUUCCUAGUAUGUGAACAUGAUAAGAGAUUUCUGUUAAGAUUUGUUUUCUGGCUCACUGUUGCAGAUACCGGAAUUGCCUCACUCAAUAUUGACCUUCCCCUUCAAUUUUUAUUAUUGAAACGUGUACCUUCCACAUUUGGUUGUUGCAGCUGGAUACCACAUGUGUGUUCUUCACAUCAAUUACUAGUUGUGGAAAGAUAUGAAAGUGGACAAUCUCACCUGUUAUGUUUAUAAUCUGUCCUCUGCUCAUUGUCCUGCAUCUUGCUGUGAAACUGGACACCAUGCAUUGAGUUCAGAAGACCUCAUGGCAUGAAGAUACUGGGCAGAUGAUUCUGUUGAAUUGUGUAGUCAGUUGAGUAUGAUGGGAAACGAUAUCCCAGCUUGUGUUGAUGGCUCUGAGACAUAUUCAUGAGAAGAGGAAGAUGCAUGAGUUUUGAAAAGCAGAAGUGAAGAAGGCAUGAUUCUCAGUUCUUCUGCGCCACCAGGAGACAGAGUACAGCACAUGGCCCCAGGACGUGGCUCUGCCCGUGUGGAAGAGCUUCCAAGCCAACAGGUUCCAUGUUGGUUCCGUGGGCAGCAGAUUCUAGAGGUUGUUCCAGGAGCUCCCCCGUGAAGGACCCUGGUGAUUUUUCAGGCCCAGAGUGAUCCUUGCAUUUCCGUGUAGUUCUUUGGGGUCCCUCAGGCUUCUGCAGGCUAUCACACCUCAUGAUGUCUGUCAUCCUGUGAGCCCGCUGACCACGAGUGCUUCUAGGGACAUGAUGUCUCUGCAGUAAGCAUCUCAUUCCUCUAAGAGUAGAUGUGUCUCCUGCCUGUACCCUGACAGAUUUGACACUGUAGCCACAGCUGCAGGGCACUUGCUUUCCAGGAUGUACUGUCGAGUGGCUGCACUGGCCCUGCAUUUCUUGUUUCUGGAUAGUUCCAAGAUUGACAUAUGCGUUUGUGAAUAUAUUUGGCAGUUUGUGGGAGCUGACUGCUGUGAAAUGACAAGCCCAAUAGGACGUGUGGGGUGUUUUAGGCCUUGGUGGUCUUGGAGGACGUAGCUGUGGCCUUCACCCUGGAAGAGUGGGCGCUGCUGGAUCACAUUCAGAGGGGGCUCUACAGAGACGUGAUGCUGGAGACCUGCGGGCACCUGGCCUCUGUGGGUAAGGACGCUUCCUCCCUUAAGUUAGUCUUUUAGAGGACCCAGAUCUCCUAGGACUGUCCUUCCUUUUGGGGCCAAGGAGUGGGAAUUGAUUCUAGAAAAGACAGAUUUGAUACUAGCCUUCCAGAAGGUACCUGUAGUCAGAUGGAUUUUCCAUGAACAGAGAGCAUCUGAUACAGUGAAUCGACGACUCUUCUCUUGAUCCAGGUGUUAGUCUCUGUCAUUUUGUAGGUGCGAGCGUGGUCUCCAGUGUCAUUUUGGGGAAGUGAGAGCUGCUUGAUGGUUUUCACGCCUGUGAAAGUUACACUGUGGUCAGUGUAGAAUCAACACAACAGUGUUUCUGCAGUGACGGACACACUUAACCCAUCACCGAUGGGCUCGAUGACCGAAGUAGCAACCCAUCACAUGGACUCCCUGUUGCCCUCAAAUCCUGCCCCAGAUCGAGUUUUUUCCCACAAGCACCGCAGCAGCCACACGCACAGGGUGGCAUUCCCACGGCAGCCAGGGCAGUGCGGGGAGGCUUCAUCUCGGAUAUUUUUGCCUGCAUCCCCUGGAGAGCAGCAACCCCCAGGCAGAGCAGGUUCUGCAUAUUGUUUGGUAUUUGGGCACAUCCUUCCGAAACAUGACUUAGUCUUCGAGAAGGGAGCCCUUGCUCACGUACCUAGCUUCCCUGACGGACUUCUCACCCCUCCCUUCCCGCUUGGGCAGUCUCUCUGUAUUCCUCUUACAAAGGCAGUAUUUGUACAGGUGCAUUUUGCCCAGUUUGUUUCUAUGUUGUUUUUCUGACAAUAUGACAAUAUUUAUCUCCACUUCAGCCUCUAUCUCUUUUGAAGUACAUCUCGGUGAACAGGCUUCCAUUUUGACACACUAGCCAUACAGCUGCCGAAGACUCAAAUAGCCAGGGUUGUUUGUUAGAGGUUUUCACUGCUUGUGUGUCAUUUCUUCCUCGUGGACCUUGUGUAGAUUCUUGGAUCGGUACAUGGAGAGAAACCCACGUGUGGCCUAUUCCCCCUCCUUUUCCCCCAUUUGAGAGAGGCAUUUGAGGCGAGCUGCACUCCCGCUGGAGGAAGGGAGAUCUUGUCAGAUGGUUAGACCCAUUUGAAAUAAAAGUCCAAACCUAGCUCAAUAAUUGUGUACUGAGAGAAUCUCUACAACACAGUAUUUUCAUAAAUGUGAUGUAGAUAUGAAGCAUCUGAAACAUAAUUUAUUUGGAAACAAAGAUCAGGAGAACCCACGGGUAAGAAACACUGAAAGUUGUAUAUAUAUAUAUAUAUAUAUAUAUGUUUGAACCCUCAGGCAGGGUGUUAAACUCAUUCCACUUUGUAAAAAAUAGACAAUGCCAAACACAUACCCAUUCAUUAAAAAUGGCCAAUAUGCAGUGAAAAUAAUCACUAAUAACCACUAAUAAAUCAUCCAUGUGGAAAUCAGUUAUAAGGAAUGAUCCUUAAUAAUGGAUUCCUAUUUUGAAAGAAGUCAUUUCUUGGAGUCUCUGAACAUGAGAUGACGGUAAUCAGUGUGGAGAAGCCCCAAGUCAGAUGAGAAGCUGUUCUGGGCGUGGGUUCUGCCCUCCUGGGGAUAAACCCUGUGAAUGCUCUAUGCAUGGAAAUGCUUUCUCCGAUUUCUUUUACUAAGAACAUGCAAAGGUCUCAUAUUGGGCAGAAACCUUAUCGAUACGAGUUUGGGAAAGACUGAAGCUGUACUUGAUGCCUAAGUACUCACGCGGCAGCUGAUUUUGUAGAGAAACUCUAAAUGGCAGGGUGCUUGGAGAGCAAGUAAAAAAAGAUGUUAAGAGUCUUAAUGGUAAAAUAUCUUUUGAGUGUCUGAAAUGUGGAAAUACUUUCAUUCGCCUCUUGUGCUUUCUGGACCAUGUUCACCAGGGAGGAAAACUCCAUGGGUGUUAAGUAUGUGGGAAAUGCUUCAUUUGUUACUCCCGUUUUAUGUGAAAAUGGGAGAACGCACUGGAGUGAAAUACCAUGAAGUCACUGAGUGUGGGAAAGCUUGCAGUUGUUCGUCAUCCCUUCCAGAGCAUGUGAGAGCCCACACUGGGAGGACACCCUGUGGAUGUAGUGGUAUAGGGACCCCUUCAGUUGAAGUGAAACUCUAUGACUGUAAAGAGUGUGGAAAAGUCUUCAGGUAUCCGUUAAACCUGCAAGCACAGGGAAGGAAGGACCCACCCUGGCAAGAAACUGAACAGAAGAGACUGAGAAUUCCCUCAUUUUUCCCUUAAAACCUUGUUGUAAAUGUGAGUAAACACACUGGAGAGAAACUUUAAUUCCGUGAUUUCUGUAUUAAGUAACUUCUUUUCUCCAAGAGGUCUGUUUCUUCCUUCCACCCUGACAGAUUUAAUGCUCUGGCCACAAAUUUAAGGAAGUUCCUUCUCUCAUUGUACAUUCGAGACUGUACUAGCUGCAUUUUUGUUUUCCUUUCUAGAUACUUUUAUGAUUGAAAUAAGCAAAUCUGUGGCAGUUUGUAGGAGUUUUCUCUUAUAGCUGACUGGUUUCUAAAUGAUGAAUCCAGUAUGUUCACUUUCCUUUUUUAAAUGUGAUUACCCUGUGUCUAAUUUUCACUUUUUGUGUAAUCCAAAGCAACGUACCCUAUUUGGGGGGUCAGAUAAUAGUUAUUUAAAUAAAGUCACCUACACUGACUCGAUGCCACCUGGGUUCAUGGGCUUCAGCUAACCCAUACAAUGAGAUUCCUUCCAGAGUCUGCCGAGGAGAAAGUGGAUUCAGACAUGCCGAGUUUCUCUGUGGAAGACAUUCAGAACAGUGCUAGAUGGCAGCCAGUUAUGUGGGAGCACUUACAUAGUACGAGAAUGUCAAACGGAGCCUCAGAGAUGCGCAAGCUGGCCUGGCACUUACUGUGUGUGGCCUUUUCUCCUCAUGAAGAAAAAAAAAUGCCACCAAAUCUGUCAUCAGAGGAAGCAGUUCUGUGUCUGGUGGGUCAAGACGAAGGAAGAGUAUGUUACAGCCAUGCCUGUGACGAGGCCAGAGAUCAGGAGUCCAGGCCACAAAAAUGACCAAUAUUUCAUCUUGUUAAUGUGACUGUUCCCUCUUUACCAAUUAAUUUUAGCUUCACUGCAUUCUUUCUCCUAUCUGGACAAGAACUGUGAAGAUAUCCAGUGAUCAAAUUAUACUUACCUUCUGACCACAUCUAAGUCAGAGUAAGGACUACGUCCUUUGAGACCCAAGCUGCCAAACAGAAGUCUAAAUGCUAUAAUUUGUCCAGCUAUGUGCUUGUGUCAUAUGUCAUCUGUCCCUCCUGACACACCCUUCGUCCUUCACGAGACGUGCCAGUCUGCAUGCUCUAAGUCAGUGUACUCCGUGUUGACUGCUGCUGUCAUCCUAGUGCUCUGUGGCUAGAGCCCAUUGACAAAAAUCAUCAUUUUGCUCUCAUUAAUGUAUUAUAAGUCACUUUAAUGACAGAAGUUUUAUGUAUAUUAGAAUAACUUACCUGAAAUAAAAAAAAACCCUACUCUUGUAUGCACUUGGUACUGUUGGCUAAGAAUGCCUAAGAAUAUUGAAUAAGAAUUCUCUUCAUUUAA